CGAGCCUGGGAGAUCAAGCACUGGAAAAAAAUGCUCUGGCGGUUUGUCUCCCUCUUCUCGGAACUGGAAGCAAAGCAGCUUCGCCGGCUCUAUAAGUACACCAAAACGAACCAGACGGCCAAGUUCCUGGUCGCGCUCUGCCCCUUGGAUGCACCAGAGAGAUCUUUGCUCGCCAACCAGGAGGACAGUCUCCCCAGGCUCUGCAGUGCCUGGGGGUUGCAUGGAAAUAUCAGCGGCAUGAAGGAGAGGUUGUCCAAGAUGCAAGCCCCUGGCCAAGAGGCUAUCUUGCUGGAUGAGUCAAGGUCCUCACACUGUUCCAGAGAUUCUUUAAUGAAACUUCCUCAAAAACCAAAGCUGAAGAAAAAGAGGAUUAAGGAAAGACCAGAGUCUCCCAAGAGCUACUCAUAGGAAGACCCACAGGGAUGGAGGCCAGCUCCCCUGGCUCCCUGAGCACUUGCAUGUAUACUCUGGAGAAGGAGGGGGUUGAAGAGGGUAAAGACAAUUUACUCAAUUUUUAAUUAUAAAUAAAUGGUUUGGGAAAUAAUAAUCCUUGAGACAAUUGAACUUU
rnacentral:lncRNA from 1 species